AUGUGGUGUAGCGGUGAAAUGCAUAGAUAUCACAUAGAACACCGAUCGCGAAGGCAGGUGGCCAACCAUGAACUGACGCUGAUGGACGAAAGCGUGGGGAGCGAACGGGAUUAGAUACCCCGGUAGUCCACGCCGUAAACGAUGGAUACUAGCUGUGGGGCCUUUGGGCUCCGUGGCCAAGCGAAAGUGAUAAGUAUCCCACCUGGGGAGUACGUUCGCAAGAAUGAAACUCAAAGGAAUUGACGGGGGCCCGCACAAGCGGUGGAGCAUGUGGUUUAAUUCGAUGAUACGCGAGGAACCUUACCAGGGCUUAAAUGCAGGCUGCAUGGGGCAGAGACGCCCCUUUCUUCGGACCGCCUGCAAGGUGCUGCAUGGUUGUCGUCAGCUCGUGCCGUGAGGUGUCAGGUUAAGUCCUAUAACGAGCGCAACCCCUGCCGUUAGUUGCCAGCAUGUAAAGAUGGGGACUCUAACGGGACUGCCGGUGCAAACCGUGAGGAAGGUGGGGACGACGUCAAAUCAUCACGGCCCUUACGUCCUGGGCCACACACGUGCUACAAUGGCCGGUACAGAGGGAAGCCACCCCGCGAGGGGGAGCGGAUCUACAAAGCCGGUCUCAGUUCGGAUCGGGGUCUGCAACUCGACCCCGUGAAGCUGGAAUCGCUAGUAAUCGCAUAUCAGCCAUGAUGCGGUGAAUACGUUCCCGGGCCUUGUACACACCGCCCGUCAAGCCAUGGAAGCCUGGAGUGCCUGAAGUCCGUCACCGCAAGGAGCGGCCUAGGGCAAGACCGGUAACUAGGGCU
rnacentral:rRNA from 1 species